rnacentral:misc_RNA from 1 species
AAGGUUGCAAAAAAAAAACAUGCAUGUUACAAAUCUGAGACAUUGUUAGCUGCAUGGAAAGCAGUUCAAGAGGGCAUGACUGUGUACAAGGCUUCGAAACUUUUUGACAUACCGAAACAAACUCUGGAUGACCGAAAAUCAGGAAAAAUACGUAACCCACAAAACACUGGUAGUGGACAACUUCCAAUAUUUAAUACGUCACAGGUUUUCCCAACCUGUCAAUUUCGGCGUGACAAAUGGCCCGGUCUUGCGGAUUUGUUGUGAUUUUAUCGAAAUUAGGUAGAAACACCACCGCCACAUUCCAAUGCUGACAAUCGGUCACUGUAUAUUUUUUAUUACUUGAAGGAAGGAAAACAUCACCCAGAUGUAACUGUCGGUCACCAAAGUGGAAUCAGAAAGGCCGUUAAAAAAUAUUCCAUUAAAGGUGACAAUCUUUAUUAUGAAGCCAAGGGAAAACACCAGCUGGUAUGCCAUUCCAGAGAAGAGCGUGUGUCUGCCCUUAAGCACUGCCAUGAUGAACCAGGAACUGGUGGACAUUGGGGCAGAAACAAAACGCUGGACAAGAUACAGGAAUCCUAUUACUGGCUGGGGAUGGCAAAGGAUGUUGAGAAAUGGAUCAACGAAUGUGACCAGUGUCAGCGCCAGGAAAGGCUAAAGACAAUAGCACCAAUUCUGCAUCCAAUCGAGACCGAUUCUCCUUGGGAUUUAAUAGGGAUAUACCUGAUCGGCCCCUUUCAGAAAACAGAAGGUGGUAACAAGUAGGUGUCUUAAAUCAUAAUUGUUUUACUUUUUGUGAUACCACUAACUCUAGUAGUCAAACAAAAUAAUAGUUGUGGUUCCAAUUACCUAGCAGUCAGUAGAAAAAUUGUGCAACCCUAACGUUUUUAAAGAAAAUCACCCCAAAAUCAUUUUGUCAACCGACCAAGUCUAAAUUAAUAUAACCAACAAUCAGCUUUGUAUAACUUUUUCACAAUAUUCAAUUGAUAAUUAAAUAGUGUUCGGUUUUACGAUUACCACAGCUGUGUUUUGAAAUUUUGUAUAAUUUUGAGUUAAGGUGUACCAGGCAAUUUAGACGGGCUGCCAAAAUAAAGUGUGUCGAACUGUUUACAAAAAAAAAAAAAAACCCUGAUAACUGCAAAUAACUGAUGUGGAUUUCUUCAAACAGAUCGUCAACAGUUUCCUGGCUAAUGCACUCAAUACAUUUUAUUUACGGUUAUAUGACGUCGGACAUAUGGUUAAGGACCACACAGAUAUUUAGGGAGGAAACCCGCUGUCACCACUUCAUGGGCUACUCUUUCAGAUUAGCAGCAAGGGAUCUUUUAUAUGCACCAUCCAUAGACAGGAUAGCACAUACCACAGCAUUCGUGGUGCACUGGUUGGAGUGAGUAAUAGCUCAAUGGUCCCAUUUUUUAGUGUUGAAUUAUGCCCUUGUUUAUAUUCAGAUGUGUUAAUUUCACAAUUUCAUUUUUAUACACCCACCUACGAUGAUGAGUAUUAUGGUAUGGCGUUGUCUGUCAACUUUUUCUUGUCCGGACCAUAUCUUGCAUACAGGACCAUCAAACCUCACAUGUAGGAACAACUUGGGAUGGCGGUGUGUUGCAUACUAUUACUAGGUCACUGUGACCUACUUUUCAGUCUACUGCACAUAAUAGUAAAUCCUUGUCCGGACCAUAUUAUAAGUCGUGGAUAACACUAAUAAUCAAACUAAAGCUCUGUGGCAGUAAUAAAAUAGGUUAAAUAUACAUGUACCUAUAUGUACUGACAGAACGUGAAUAUCUGUUCUAUUAUGACAAAACGAGAGAAAAAAAAAAUAUAUUCCACAGGUUUAGUUGGGUUUUUUUUGACAAGAUCCUAGUAUGUUCAAAACCAUUGUUUAACCAUACUAAUACAUGUAAACAGAUAUUUCAAAAUGUUUAAGUAUAUACAUUUUUUUAUCCAUUUUCUUUUUAGAUGUCCAGUCAAACAAACUUUUCAGUACAUGUAUUUUAUGCAUGAUAAUUUUUGUACAAUUUUUGUAUUCAUAUGCCACUGCAUUUUAUUUAAAUUUAGCUCUGGCACUAGUCAAAUAC